ensembl:lncRNA
AGAGCAAAUACUUUUACCGUCCAGUGCACGGUUAGUAUAUUUCUAGUUAUCUUCUAUAGCGGCUAAAGAAUCGGAAGUCGCACAUUCACAGAAAACAGCUUAGCUUUAGCAUUGCAAAAUGUAGUGUAAAAAAAGUCAUAUAAGUUUUGAAACACAUGAUGGUGAGUAAAUCAUAAACUUUUCAAAUUUUAGGGUAAACUACUAAGACACUAUUAAUUUAAAAUGUAUUCAAAAAUAACAACAACAACAACAACAAAAUGUUUUGCUAUCUAUAUGGAUAUUACUAAAUAAAAAGGAAAAAGUCGAUUAUUUUAUUUUAGUAUUAAUUAUAUACAAUUUAUUUCUGAAAGCAACUUAAUCAUGUGAGAAUAUAGCGACCAUACUAUAAAGUUAAGUUACUCACCUUAUCAGCAAACUUUAUUUUCUCGGUUUAUUUCAAGCUAGCAUGGAAGAGAUCAUCACUUCUAUUAUUAAUCCACCUUUAACGUUGCAACGGCAGAAUCUCAGUCACGCAACAGUGGCUUAAUUUUCCCGCUCGUUUCCAUGCGAACAGUUUAAAACGCAAAACGGCGCGGUUCGCCGAUCGAUAUCUCGUGUGAAACACCUCUCGUAGCCUAACUGUGCGUCAUCAUAUGUGCGGGCACAAGUGGAUAAAACGGUGGCUCCUUUACAGGAUGGGGCUUUUUAGCCAAAGUGGCCUUGGGCUUCGCGCGGGAUUAACGUUCCCGCCAACAGCGCGCGGGAUUAACGACCGUUAAAAGGGCAAAACCACUCCAGCAGCUUCCUGUGAUGUUUACCACAAUAUAGAUAGCCUUCCUCGUAAAUCUCUCUAUAUAGGCUAUCUCUCUAAAUUUAACAUUACUCACUUAAAGUCGUAAUUUAUACACUAUCGUUUUCUUCCCGUACCUUACUGAGAAGACCAUGAACUAGGACAGACUGGUUUAGGCGCUUCAGUCGCUAUUCUUGGGAAGAGACCAACUACUGGUCUUUUCAGCCGGGCAAAAACUCAAACAAACCAGAGGUCAAACACGGGAACUUCCACAGAUGGUAGUGUGUCCAGUCUCUGGGAGAAGAAACGACUGACUCCAUUCACUGAGGAUCCUGGCUUUCAUCCAGUGCUGACUGGCAAAACUUCAACUCACACUGCCGCCUGUAGACCACUUGCGGUAUUAAAGUCAAAUUCAGUGCUUCUGGUUUAUUUGCAGCUGGGCAUCUAACUGA